CUGAUGGAUUUCUGAGGUCGGGCCCUCCUCAUCUGAGGAGGCUGGAUGAUGUUGUGUACAUUGUAGAGAUGGUCAAAGCUGUACUGGCUAUAAGAAAUGCUGGGCAGCCCUCGCUGCCACACCACCUCCUGAGAGAAGAUUUAAAAACCGAGGCCCAGAGAAGAGAGACAUGACUAAGGUCAUAGUACUGGUUAGAACCAGAAGCAGUAUUGACUCUUUGACACCUAAUCCCAAAUGUUUUCAACUACUUCAGGCUGCCUCUCAUCACUCAGCUGAUGCUAGUAAGCUCACUUCAGAUAUUGGAAAAGCAGCAGUUUUGAAAUUACCUUCGAAAUGACCUCUCACAACAAGGUCUUCAACAGGAAGCAAGGUUCUCCAUCUUAACUUUACUUAGUUUCCUAGGUUCCAAAGCUGUUUACAUUGGUUACCAGGUACCACCUCUUCAGAAUUCCAUGAGUCUACUCACAGAACCUAUGGGUUCAAUCAGGAGUAUCUUCAGCUACUUAUUAAAUUUCCUUCUUUGUAAACUGA